AUUGAACGCUGGCGGCAUGCCUUACACAUGCAAGUCGACCGGCAGCACGGGCUUCGGUCUGGUGGCGAGUGGCAGACGGGUGAGUAAUACAUCGGAACGUGCUGAGUAAUGGGGGAUAACGCAGCGAAAGUUGUGCUAAUAACCCAUACGGCCUGAGGGGGAAAGUGGGGGAUCGCGAGACCUCAUGUUAUUUGAGGGGCCGUUGGCUGAUUAGCUAGUUGGUGAGUGAAAGGAUCACCAAGGGGACGAUUAGUAGCUGGUCUGAGAGGACGACCAGCCACAGUGGGACGGAGACACGGCCGAGACUCGCACGGGAGGCAGCAGUGGGGAAUUUUGGACAAUGGGCGAAAGCCUGAUCCAGAAAUUCCGCGUGUGCGAAGAAGGUCUUCGGGUUGUAAAGCACUUUUGUCAGGGAAGAAAACUGUUUGGCUACUUCCCGAAUAGGAUGACGGUACCUGAAGAAUAAGCAACGGCUAACUACGUGCCAGCCGCCGCCGUAA
rnacentral:rRNA from 1 species